UGGCGGACGGGUGAGUAAUGUCUGGGAAACUGCCUGAUGGAGGGGGAUAACUACUGGAAACGGUAGCUAAUACCGCAUAACGUCGCAAGACCAAAGAGGGGGACCUUCGGGCCUCUUGCCAUCGGAUGUGCCCAGAUGGGAUUAGCUAGUAGGUGGGGUAAAGGCUCACCUAGGCGACGAUCCCUAGCUGGUCUGAAAGGAUGACCAGCCACACUGGAACUGAGACACGGUCCAG
rnacentral:rRNA from 1 species